rnacentral:rRNA from 1 species
UACAGAGGGUGCGAGCGUUAAUCGGAAUUACUGGGCGUAAAGCGUGCGCAGGCGGUUCGUUGUGUCGGCGGUGAAAGCCCCGGGCUCAACCUGGGAAUGGCCGUUGAAACUGGCGAACUGGAGUGUGGCAGAGGGGGGUGGAAUUCCGCGUGUAGCAGUGAAAUGCGUAGAGAUGCGGAGGAACACCGAUGGCGAAGGCAGCCCCCUGGGCUAACACUGACGCUCAGGCACGAAAGCGUGGGGAGCAAACAGG